CCCAAUAUUAUGAUAUUCAUAGGCAGAGUUUGUAUAGAUCAUACAUAAAUAUACAUACAUCAAGAAAAAAAUGUUAUUUGAGAAAAUUAUCUUUUUUUAAAGAAGUCAAACAGACUAUAUCUUUGUUCACUGAUCCAUGAAAUGAGGUUAAUUUCAGAUGAAAACUAUCUGAUGGACAUGAGGGCCUUGCAAGGUAGGAACAUAUUAAAUAUAGUAAUCCUUUUACUCAUAAUAAGAAAAAAAUUAACAUUACAA
rnacentral:lncRNA from 1 species